rnacentral:rRNA from 1 species
GACAGAGGAUGCAAGCGUUAUCCGGAAUGAUUGGGCGUAAAGGCGUCUGUAGGUGGCUUUUUAAGUCCGCCGUCAAAUCCCAGGGCUCAACCCCUGGACAGGCGGUGGGAAACUACCAAGCUGGAGUGACGGUAGGGGCAGAGGGGAAUUUCCGGGUGGAGCGGUGGAAAUGCGUAGAGAUCGGAAAGAACACCAACGGCGAAAGCACUCUGCUGGGCCGACACUGACACUGAGAGACGAAAGCUAGGGGAGCGAAUGGG